AUUGAACGCUGGCGGAAUGCUUUACACAUGCAAGUCGAACGGUAGAGGGGGCAACCCCUCGAGAGUGGCGAACGGGUGAGUAAUAUAUCGGAACGUGCCCAGUCGUGGGGGAUAACGUAGCGAAAGUUACGCUAAUACCGCAUACGCUCUAAGGAUGAAAGCGGGGGAUCGCAAGACUUCGCGCGAUUGACGCGCACGAUAUCAGAUUAGGUAGUGGGUGGGGUAAAGGCUCACCAAGCCAACGAUCUGUAGCUGGUCUGAGAGGACGACCAGCCACACUGGAACUGAGACACGGUCCAGACUCCUACGGGAGGCAGCAGUGGGGAAUUUUGGACAAUGGACGCAAGUCUGAUCCAGCCAUUCCGCGUGCAGGAUGAAGGCCCUCGGGUUGUAAACUGCUUUUGUACGGAACGAAAAGGUCUCUCUUAAUACGGGGGACUCAUGACGGUACCGUAAGAAUAAGCACCGGCUAACUACGUGCCAGCCGCCGCUGUAACAC
rnacentral:rRNA from 1 species